rnacentral:lncRNA from 12 species
AUGGGAACACCUCCAGGCACACUGCUCUUUGAUGAGCCUCUCCAGCCUGGGCCCAACGGGUUGGCUGUUUGUCCUCUCGUCCGAGGCACUUCUACUGUGGAGCAAGUGACUGUUGCACCCAUGGGACAUGCUCUCAGGGACACCUUCUGCACAGGCCACAUCCUGGGGACCUGCUUGUUCCUCCUGGAGUGGCCUCCCUCCUCACCUGGGUCCCUACAGGCAGCGGGCCCAGGGGCCCCACCCGGCUUUCCCUGGCACUCCACCCACCAGGUCACCAGGGGCUCAGUGCCUAGGGCACUAGGUGCUGGCCAGCCCCCCAGACUCCCAGCCCCCCAGGCUCCCAGCUCCCCAGGCUCCCAGGCUCCCAGGUCUCUGUGGUCAGGGUGCAGGCAAGAGUCAUGUUGGCCAACACCCCCAACCCCCAGCCCCCCAGCCCUCCAGGCUCCCAGGCCUCUGUGGUCAUGGUGCAGACGAGGGUCAUGCUGGCCAACCCCCCAGCCCUCCAAACCCCCAGGCUCCCAGCCCCCCAGGCUCCCAGUCUCCCAGCCCCCUGCUCUCAGGCUCCCAGCCCCCCAGGCUCCUAGGCUCCCAGGCCUCUGUGGUCAGGGUGCAGGCAAGGGUCAUGCUGGUGAACACCCCCAACCCCCCAGCCCCCCAGGCAUCCAGUCCCCCGCUCUCAGGCUCCCAGGCUCCCAGGCCCCUGGCCUCUGCAGAUGGGGUGCAGGUGAAGGGUCAUCCCAUGAACAGCCAGCUUGCUUAGUUAGCUUAGGAGACUGGAGAGGUGCAGAGAGAGAGAGGGAGGGAGAGACGCACCCCUGCAGUAGCAGGAUGCAGAAGCGCACCUGGCUCCAGCUGCAACCCGCCUGCCUCCUGCCGGGUACCCCCCCACUUCCAGGGGCCACCAGACCUGGUAGCGUGUGGGGCCCCUUCCUUGCACACUCGAAGCCACACUCCCUCCUGCCCCAUGUGUCUGCAAACACCUCCCUGCCCCAGGGACCAACCAACCAACAAGAAAGCUCUUGA